ACAUGGUUAGGUUUUAAGUUUCUAAUCUUUACAUGUUUAUCUAGUUUAACAAUAAGAUGAACUUUGGGAUGACAUGCCAAAGAGCAGAACAUGUUGCGACUGACUCUGAGGUAGCCCUACGUCCUGCUUGGAGGAGGCUGCACAGAGAUGCUGCUGGCCACCCACAUCAAACACAUGCUAUUCUAUUCCACUGAGUUCAUCACAUUCAAUUGUAUUUCUACAGGCUUACCAAGUGCCACAUUUCUACCUGACUAGACUUUUAAACCUUUCUAGUCUGAAUCACAGAAUCAGUCCAAAGCCACAACGACAGCUGCAGCUCGUGCGUCUCUCAGUCUGAGGUUCUGAUGGCAGUUGACGCAUUCUGUAAUAAACUCUCUGCAAUCUGUGGCUCUUACCUUAGA
ensembl:lncRNA